UGGGGAAUUUUGCACAAUGGGGGAAACCCUGAUGCAGCGACGCCGCGUGAUUUAGAAGGCCUUCGGGUUGUAAAAAUCUUUUUUAUGGGAUGAAAAUGACAGUACCAUAGGAAUAAGGACCGGCUAAUUACGUGCCAGCAGCCGCGGUAAUACGUAAGGUCCGAGCGUUGUCCGGAAUCAUUGGGCGUAAAGGGUACGUAGGCGGGUAAGCAAGUUAGAAGUGAAAUCCUGUAGCUCAACUACAGUAAGCUUUUAAAACUGCUCAUCUUGAGAUAUGGAAGGGAAAGUGGAAUUCCUAGUGUAGCGGUGAAAUGCGCAGAUAUUAGGAGGAAUACCGGUGGCGAAGGCGACUUUCUGGCCAUAAUCUGACGCUGAGGUACGAAAGCGUGGGUAGCAAACAGG
rnacentral:rRNA from 1 species